ensembl:lncRNA
AGAGGUCCAGCAAUGCCAGCUACAAACUCUGGCCUUUGCUCAAGUUCCCUUGGGUAGAUAUUGUGAAGGUUGUCCUAUCCUUCCGGGGUCCCUGCAAGUGUGUGAGGCCCUUUUACCCAGCCAGCAUGCUGGUACCCUUGGACAUUGCCUGGGUGCCCACCUUAUCCCUUUACUGGUGUUUGACCAGGAGGAGGAAGGGUGGUGACAGGAAUGAGGAAGAUGAGGCAGGGCUCUGGGUAUGUGCGGGUGUGCUUGUGUGGCUGUGCUAUAGGUGGAGGUCGGUGAGCAGAGGUUGGCAGCUGGGCUGGGUGGCUAACUGCUCUCUGGGGAGGGGGUAUGCACCCACCCCUUCUCUGUUGGAUGAAGCAGUGAGCAGGGCUCCAAUACCCUCCAGUUAAGAGUCUGGCCCCAGGGAGCCUGGGCGGAGAUUGGCCUCACUCCUCCGCUCCCCUCGUGCUGGUCAGUGUGCCAUUGCGGGGGUCACUGAGAAUGGCUAGGACAGCCCACGAGCCUUCCUGAGGGCCAGACAAGCCAGCCAGGCUGGAGGGUCAGCCCAGGGACCUUCACUCACUGAAGCUGCAGUUUUCAUUAAGGUCAAGGGUAGGCUUGUAGGAUGAACGAGGCAGAACUGAACGGUCAUGAUGGAGAUCAAAACAAGGGCCUUGGCCUCCUACAAGGACCACAUCAAAGGAAAGACUCACUGUUAACCCCCAAGGACAGAAAAAUAAUUAUAAUUAUAAUAGCUGCAAGCAUUUUGCUAUAAGAGCUUGGCAGGCACUAUUUCUUUUAAUCUUCAACAAUAAUCUUACCAAGUCUAUACCUUAUGAUUCCCCUUUCACAGAAUGGCAGCUCAGAGCCAGGAUUUGAACCUAGGUCACAAUAACCACAUUUAAGUCACUUUUAAUAUCCCUAAACUGCAUAAGGUAGCUCAGAAUGUUUUUGGACUUUGAAAGGACUGGGAGAAGCCAGAGGGGGACAGAGGUAAGACCCAUUCAUCAUAACAGGGGUAAAACAUUAGAGCAGGACCUCAACUGAGGCUUUCCAGGCUGUUUGGGACAUCUCGAGGCCAAGUAGAAAUAGACAUCUGUCCAGCAGAGUUAGCAGGCUGGCCUAGAAAUGAGCUCAGGACAAAUAAAGCCCUUGAAGAAGAAGCAGGUGCAACAGCCUGGACUGUAUGUUGUUCAGGAAUAUGGGCUGAAUGAUGGGAACGUGAUGAUGUUGCUCAGAAUGUGGAUUUCCAGGAGUUCCCGUCGUGGCGCAGUGGUUAAUGAAUCUGACUAGGAACCAUGAGGUUGCAGGUUCGAUCCCUGCCCUUGCUCAGUGGUAUAUGAGCAUUUUCAUGGCUCCUAACAUAUAAAACUGCAUUUUCCAAAUUGCAUUUUCCAAAAAGGCUGCACAUUUGGGCUGACACCUGCAAUGUUCAAGAGUGUCCAUUUCACCACAGUGCUGCCAGCAUUUCCACCAUCUCCUUUUAAAGAUAAGGAGGUGAGGCUGGAUUGCUGAAGUGACAUGAGGCUGAAGCUACACUUAGUCAAUGUCUCAGAGCUGGGAUGAGAACCUGGGGAUUUCUUUUUCACUAACCAGGGUGCUUUGCUUCUGAUGAUUUUCUCAGUUUCCAACCAGGCAGGAGGGAAACAUCAAGCCUGGCCCAUUGGUCCCUCUCUCUCCCUCUCUCCCUGCCAGCUCUGACUUCAGCUGCACAAGGAGCUUACGUUUCAGUGCCAUUCAUUGCUUUUCUGCCUCUGAAGCUGGGGCCUCUCCUCUGAUCAAGCUCCACACCCUCCAUGAACCCUCUUCUGAUCACUCAGAGGUCGUUACAUACCUGAACUGUGGUUAGAUGUAGAGACAUGGGUGGGGAAGCAGUGGGACAAAGGCGAGGUGACAGUCAAUGGGAGGGACAAAAGCCAGCCAGACUGGCCAGGGCAGUGGAAGAUACACUGGGAAGGUGGGAAGGUGGCAGGGGCCUAGGGAGUUUGGGGUGGGGGGGCCUGAAGGCAUUGCCUCCCAGUCAUCUGCAGCUACUGGGACAGGGGCUAUUUCCACAGGGAAGCUGGGCUCUAACCUCAUCUUGUAACAGGGCAUCUCGGUGGGCUUUAGAGGAUCUUUAAACUCCCAGCUAGAUCAUAUGUAAAGCAGUAUGAGUAUGUGAGCAUCUUCCUUUUUCUGGAGAGACAGCCCAGAUCAUUCAUCAGAUUUUCAAAAAUGUUUCUCACUCACCUUCUCCAAAGCUCAAAACAUUAAGUUAAAAUGAAAGGUAAAAAUCAACUAGAAAUAUGAGCUGUUUGUUGUAUGAGUUAUAUAUGUAUAUAUUUACCCGUGGUAAAAAGAGAGGAAAUAAUUAUAGGUAGUCCUUUUCAAAUAAGGAGAUGAUAGAUAGAUACAUAGAUAGAUGAUAGAUAGAUGACUGAUGAUAAAUAGAUGAAAGGUGAUUGAUCGUAAAUACAUGAUAGAUUGAUAGAUACGUGAUGAUCGAUGAUAAGUAGAUGAUAGGUGAUUGAUGAUAAACAGAUGAUAGGUGACGAUAAACAGAUGAUAGAUAGAUGGUUAAUAGAUGAUAAAUAGAUGACAGAUGAUUGAUAGGUAGAUAGAUAUUUGAUAGAUGAUAGAUGAUUGAUGGAUGAUAAAUAGUAAAUAGGUAAAUAGACAGAUGAUUGAUAGAUGAUAGAUAGCUAGCUGAUUGAUGGAUGAUAAAUACAUAAGAGAUGAUUGCUAGAUGAUAGGUAGAUGCUAGAUGAUUGAGAGACAGAACAGAUGUACAUUUAGCAGUUAUAGUAAAGAGUCAUUAUUUGUGCCACCUAAGAUUUCUUCUUUUCCCCUGCAUGACAGGGAGCAAGCAGAGCUGGGAGGAGCUGGUAAACCUGGUGCUGAAGUAUUCAGAUCACUGCCCUCCAAGGAUGAUCAGAGGUAAAGAUAAAGGCUUCAUGAAUUGAUGAAGUCAGUGGGAAAACGGGAUUUGGUUUCACAACUCUUCCAGAGCCAUGAUUGCGUAAGAUGGGACACACUUGAAAACAAUCCCAGCCAUCCCGUCUCAAGCACGUAGUGGGUGUCAGGUCCUGUGCUGAGUGCUUUGCAAGUAUUAUCUUGUUUACUUCUCAGCGGCCCUGGUGCUCUGGGCUGUACUAUACCUCCUAUUUUACAAGAGAGGAAACAGAGCUCCAGGGAUGUGAAGCCACCAGCCCCAAGCAAGCAGCUGCAAAAGGAACAGUGGGGACAGGAAGUCAGGCGGGCUGGGUCCUGGAGCUGGAGCUCAAUACAGCCCUGGAGAGCAGUUGUGUCAAGUGGUCAGUAAUCAAUCCUAUCUCUGUCUUCUACAAAAGGGCUGGACCCUGAAUAGCCUGGCUCCCCCUGUUCUCUUUGCCGUUAAAGGGAUAAUUUAAUGAAUAUACUUGAAAUUAUCCAUACUUGUUAAAAAAAAAAGUGAUAGUAGUAGUACUUAGAGUAAUAUCUCCCAUUUAUUGAGCAUGUGAAUCUGACAAAGGUUGUAUAGUCGUUUUUGUAACUCCAUCCUUACAACAAGCCUGCAAGAUGAGUAUCGGUGGGUUCAUUUUACAGAUAGCAGUGCCGAGGUCCAAGGACGUUUAGAUCACCUGCCUGAGGUCAUCUAGUGAGUAGAGGGGAGGGAGGCUGGACUGCAUCCUGGCUCUUUCUGCUUCUGUCUCCUGCUGGGUAAUGCAGGGCACAAAGGUGCAGGGCUUGGCUUUCUUGUUGGGGCUCACCUGAUGCUUGGGGCAUGGAAAAGACCCAGAGGCUCACUGCCAUGGUCAAAGGAAAGGAAGGAAGGAAAGAAAGGGAGAUGGGAGGGAGGGAUGGAAGGACAGAGGAGGAAGGAAGAAAGAAGGAAAGAAGAGAGGAAGGGACCAUGGACAGGUACACAGGCUGUGUGUCCGGCAGCACCAAGAUACUGAUGAACGACUCAGACUCAGAGCUGCAAUUUCAAAAGCCCUGCCAGAAAUGGGCAGCGGCCACUGGCCACAGUGAAGGAACAAGUCCUCCCCUGCUUCNNNNNNNNNNNNNNNNNNNNNNNNNNNNNNNNNNNNNNUCAUGGCCCAUUUUUGGAAUUUGGCUACAGUCUUAGAAGCCAAAGCUCAUAGCCCCAUAAAAUGUUCAUGGUCAAGGUAGGAGCUCUUUCCUCUGAUUAAACUCAGUGGUCCUUUUAUUUAGCUCCUCCCCUCUCUUGGGUUGUGAUCUUGAUUCUCGAAGCCCUAGGGCCUGGGAGGCAUGAAAUGCAGGAGGCAAGAGAGAUGACCAGCUCCUAGGAUGAGACUAGGAGGGUGUGAUGGACGUGGUCACAGCUGGGAGAAACUGGCCGGAGAACUGUGCAAGUCCUGUCAAGACCAGAGGCUAAAGCUGGACACAGGAUCUGAGAGGCCCAUGGGGCGAAGCUUGCAGCCAGUGUCCCAGGUAAACAAGCAGGGGUCCGGGCAGGCGUGACACUGGCUUGAGCAGGUACCACCAGGGGUUGGGAGUCCCUCUGAACAGCCAGGAGAAACCAGUUGGAUCCCAGUCCCUGAUGGGCUGAGGCGACCCCCUCACAAAUGACCCAGUGAGCCUCUCUUCUGGGUGGGGCGGUGCUCUAUCUGUACUCAGGGUCCUGGGACUAUUUCUAGGGCAGGAUGAGAGCUGAGCUUGAUCAGGGAGAGGGGACCUCCAGGAGGCUGCAGCCAGUGUCUGUGUUCCGGAAGCCAGGCUGUCUUCCAUGCAGGUCUCUAAAAUCCAACCCAUUCACUUCUUCUUCAUUUUUUUAAAAAUAAGUAUAAGCUUUAUUAUUUAUUUAUUUAUGCUUUUUAGGGCCACACCCACAGCAUAUGGACGUUCCCAGGCUAGGGGUUGAGUCAGAGCUCAACCCCUAGCCUGGGAGCCACAGCAACGCCAGAUCCGAGCUGUAUCUGCGACCUACAUCACAGCUCAUGGCAACACCGGAUCCUUAACACACUGAUCGAGGCCAGGGAUCGAACCCGCAACCUCAUGGUUCCUAGUCAGAUUCAUUUCUGCUGAGCCACGACGGGAAAUCCUUUUUUUUUUUUUUUUUUUUUUAAUUUUUGGCUGCCCCACGGCAUAUAGAGUUCCCAGGCCAGGGAUCAGAUCCUACCCAUAGUUGUGAUCUACACCGUAGCUGUGGCAAUGCCAGAUCCUUAACACACUGAGCUGGCCCAGGGGUCAGACUUUCGUACCUGUGCUCCAGAGAUGCCACCAAUCCCAUUGCUCCACAGCAGGAACUACCCCGUCCACUUCUCAGAGCAUCCGCUCCCCUCCUCUACUGUCCUUUGGGGCCUGUCAUUUUCUUUCAUUUCAAAGAAUAAAGCUUUGUGUUUCUUUCUUUCUUUUCCUUUUUUAUUGGCCACGCCCACAGCAUGCAGACAUUCCCAGGCGAGAGAUCAACCCCACAUCACAGCAGUGACCCAGCCACUGCAGAGACAACUCCGGAUCCUUAACCACUAGGCUACCAGGGAACUCCAAAACUUUGUGUUUCUUGAUCUUGAAAGUAAUAUACCUGCAUUGACAAAAACCUUCUUGUGUUGAGGAUUCUAUUGCAAAAGGAGAUUUUCACCCUGUUUCCCUCACUAGCCAUUUUAUGGUGAGCAUUUUUCCCUGGGGCACUUGCCCAGCCCCCAA